rnacentral:rRNA from 1 species
AGUGAACGCUGGCGGUAGGCCUAACACAUGCAAGUCGAACGGCAGCACAGUAAGAGCUUGCUCUUACGGGUGGCGAGUGGCGGACGGGUGAGGAAUACAUCGGAAUCUACUUUUUCGUGGGGGAUAACGUAGGGAAACUUACGCUAAUACCGCAUACGACCUACGGGUGAAAGCAGGGGAUCUUCUGACCUUGCGCGAUUGAAUGAGCCGAUGUCGGAUUAGCUAGUUGGCGGGGUAAAGGCCCACCAAGGCGACGAUCCGUAGCUGGUCUGAGAGGAUGAUCAGCCACACUGGAGCUGAGACACGGUCCAGACUCCUACGGGAGGCAGCAGUGGGGAAUAUUGGACAAAGGGCGCGAGCCUGAUCCAGCCAUACCGCGUGGGUGAAGAAGGCCUUCGGGUUGUAAAGCCCUUUUGUUGGGAAAGAAAAGCAGCAGGUUAAUACCCCGCUGUUCUGACGGUACCCAAAGAAUAAGCACCGGCUAACUUCGUG